rnacentral:rRNA from 1 species
CCUACGGGCGGCAGCAGUGGGGAAUAUUGGGCAAUGGGCGCAAGCCUGACCCAGCAACGCCGCGUGAAUGAAGAAGGCUUUCGGGUUGUAAACUUCUUUUCUCAGGGACGAAGCAAGUGACGGUACCUGAGGAAUAAGCCACCGCUAACCACGUCCCAGCAGCCGCGGUAAUACGUAGGUGGCAAGCGUUAUCCGGAUUGACUGGGGGUAAAGGGCGUGUAGGCGGGACUGCAAGUCAGAUGUGAAAACCACGGGCUCAACCUGUGGACUGCAUUUGAAACUGUAGUUCUUGAGUACUGGAGAGGCAGGCGGAAUUCCUAGUGUAGCGGUGAAAUGCGUAGAUAUUAGGAGGAACACCAGUGGCGAAGGCGGUCUGCUGGACGGCGACUGACGCUGAGGCGCGAAAGCGUGGGGAGCAAACAGGAUUAGAUACCCUUGUAGUC